rnacentral:ncRNA from 1 species
CCCUGGACAGGCGGUGGAAACUACCAAGCUGGAGUACGGUAGGGGCAGAGGGAAUUUCCGGUGGAGCGGUGAAAUGCAUUGAGAUCGGAAAGAACAUCAACGGCGAAAGCACUCUGCUGGGCCGACACUGACACUGAGAGACGAAAGCUAGGGGAGCAAAUGGGAUUAGAGACCCCAGUAGUCCUAGCCGUAAACGAUGGAUACUAGGUGCUGUGCGACUCGACCCGUGCAGUGCUGUAGCUAACGCGUUAAGUAUCCC